UAAUACAGAGGUCCCGAGCGUUGUUCGGAUUCAUUGGGCGUAAAGGGUGCGUAGGUGGCGCCGUAAGUGGGGUGUGAAAUCCCGGGGCUUAACCCCGGGACUGCAUUCCAUACUGCGGUGCUUGAGGACUGGAGAGGAGACUGGAAUUUACGGUGUAGCAGUGAAAUGCGUAGAGAUCGUAAGGAAGACCAGUGGCGAAGGCGGGUCUCUGGACAGUUCCUGACACUGAGGCACGAAGGCCAGGGGAGCAAACGGGAUUAGAUACCCCGGUAGUCCUGGCAGUAAACGGUGCACGUUUGGUGUGGGAGGAUUCGACCCCUUCCGCGCCGGAGCUAACGCGUUAAACGUGCCGCCUGGGGAGUACGGUCGCAAGAUUA
rnacentral:rRNA from 1 species